UACAGAGGAUGCAAGCGUUAUCCGGAAUGAUUGGGCGUAAAGCGUCUGUAGGUGGUUUUUAAAGUCUUCUGUCAAAGAUCAGGCUUAACCCUGAGCCGGCAGAAGAAACUUGAAGGCUUGAGUUCGGUUAGGGGCAGAGGGAAUUCCCGGUGAGCGGGUAGAAAUGCGUAGAUAUCGGGAAGAACACCAAUGGCGAAAGCACUCUCGCUGGGCCGUAACUGACACUGAGAGACGAAAGCUAGGGGAGCAAACAGG
rnacentral:rRNA from 1 species